rnacentral:rRNA from 1 species
CAGUAGCCACGGUAAUACGAAGGGGGCUAGCGUUGUUCGGAUUUACUGGGCGUAAAGCGCACGUAGGCGGAUCGAUCAGUCAGGGGUGAAAUCCCAGAGCUCAACUCUGGAACUGCCUUUGAUACUGUCGAUCUGGAGUAUGGAAGGGGUGAGUGGAAUUCCGAGUGUAGAGGUGAAAUUCGUAGAUAUUCGCAAGAACACCAGUGGCGAAGGCGGCUCACUGGCCCGAUACUGACGCUGAGGCACGAAAGCGUGGGGAGCAAACAGGAUUAGAGACCCGCGUAGUCCCUGUCUCUUAUAC